CCUACGGGAGGCAGCAGUGGGGGAUAUUGCACAAUGGGGGGAACCCUGAUGCAGCGACGCCGCGUGGGUGAAGAAGCGCCUCGGCGCGUAAAGCCCUGUCAGCAGGGAAGAAAAUGAAGGUAACUGCAGAAGAAGCCCCGGCUAACUACGUGCCAGCAGCCGCGGUAAUACGGAGGGGGCAAGCGUUAUCCGGAUUUACUGGGUGUAAAGGGGGCGCAGACGGCGAUGCAAGCCAGGUGUGAAAGGCCGGGGCCCAACCCCGGGACUGCUCUUGGAGCUGCGUGGCUGGAGGGCAGGAGGGGCAGGCGGAAUUCCUGGUGUAGCGGUGAAAUGCGUAGAUAUCAGGAGGAACACCGGUGGCGAAGGCGGCCUGCUGGACUGCAACUGACGUUGAGGCCCGAAAGCGUGGGGAGCAAACAGGAUUAGAUACCCGUGUAGUC
rnacentral:rRNA from 1 species